UGCCUUUUAAUUGGAGGCUGGUAUGAAUGGUUUGACGAGGGCUGAGCUGUCUCUUCUGGAAUAUUUAAAAAUUAACUUCUAAGUGAAAAGGCUUAGAUUUAGCUGAGGGACGAGAAGACCCCGUUGAGCUUUAGUGUGGGGUAAAAGGCUUUGUCCCUACUUUAGGUAGAGGGCUAGAAUUUAUUUUUACAUCUUUAGUUGGGGUGACUGGGGAACAAUGAGUAGCUUCUCUGUUUUUAUUGAGUUUAAUUCGGUUUACUGACUGAUGAUCCAGCAUUGUUGAUUAUCGGAAAAAGUUACCACGGGGAUAACAGCGUAAUCUUUCUGGAGAGUUCACAUUGAAAGGAGGGUUUGCGACCUCGAUGUUGGAUUAAGGUGUCCUGAGGGUGUAGCAGCUUUCGUUGGUUGGUCUGUUCGACCAUUAA
rnacentral:rRNA from 1 species